rnacentral:sRNA from 1 species
UCCGUUCAAGAUCGCCCCCCGUCAGCGAGGUUUCGCCCACGGGGGUUAUGGCG